rnacentral:rRNA from 1 species
UACGAAGGGGGCUAGCGUUGUUCGGAAUUACUGGGCGUAAAGCGCACGUAGGCGGAUAUUUAAGUCAGGGGUGAAAUCCCAGAGCUCAACUCUGGAACUGCCUUUGAUACUGGGUAUCUUGAGUAUGGAAGAGGUGAGUGGAAUUCCGAGUGUAGAGGUGAAAUUCGUAGAUAUUCGGAGGAACACCAGUGGCGAAGGCGGCUCACUGGCUCGACACUGACGCUGAGGUGCGAAAGCGUGGGGAGCAAACAGG